ensembl:snRNA U6 U6 spliceosomal RNA
GCUCACUUCGGCAGUGCAAGUACUAAAAUUGGAAUGAUACAGAGAAGAUUAGUGUGUCCCCUGCACAAGGAUGACAAGCAAACUUGUGAAGCAUACCAUAUUUUU